rnacentral:rRNA from 1 species
GUCGACGCUGAAAGCCUGGUGCUUGCACCGGGUGGAUGAGUGGCGAACGGGUGAGUAACACGUGAGUAACCUGCCCCUGACUUCGGGAUAAGCCCGGGAAACUGGGUCUAAUACCGGAUACGACUGCCGGACGCAUGUCUGGUGGUGGAAAGUUUUUUCGGUUGGGGAUGGGCUCGCGGCCUAUCAGUUUGUUGGUGAGGUAAUGGCUCACCAAGACGACGACGGGUAGCCGGCCUGAGAGGGCGACCGGCCACACUGGGACUGAGACACGGCCCAGACUCCUACGGGAGGCAGCAGUGGGGAAUAUUGCACAAUGGGGGAAACCCUGAUGCAGCGACGCAGCGUGCGGGAUGACGGCCUUCGGGUUGUAAACCGCUUUCAGCAGGGAAGAAGCGCAAGUGACGGUACCUGCAGAAGAAGUACCGGCUAACUACGUGCCAGCAGCCGCGGUAAUACGUAGGGUACGAGCGUUGUCCGGAAUUAUUGGGCGUAAAGAGCUCGUAGGUGGUUGGUCACGUCUGCUGUGGAAACGCAACGCUUAACGUUGCGCGUGCAGUGGGUACGGGCUGACUAGAGUGCAGUAGGGGAGUCUGGAAUUCCUGGUGUAGCGGUGAAAUGCGCAGAUAUCAGGAGGAACACCGGUGGCGAAGGCGGGACUCUGGGCUGUAACUGACACUGAGGAGCGAAAGCAUGGGGAGCGAACAGGAUUAGAUACCCUGGUAGUCCAUGCCGUAAACGUUGGGCACUAGGUGGUGGGGGGGCAUUCCACGUUCUCCGCGCCGUAGCUAACGCAUUAAGUGCCCCGCCUGGGGGAGUACGGUCGCAAGGCUAAAACUCAAAGGAAUUGACGGGGGCCCGCACAAGCGGCGGAGCAUGCGGAUUAAUUCGAUGCAACGCGAAGAACCUUACCAAGGCUUGACAUACACCGGACCGUCCUGGAAACAGGUCCUCUUCUUUGAAGCUGGUGUACAGGUGGGGGCAUGGUUGUCGUCAGCUCGUGUCGUGAGAAGGUUUGGGUUAAGUCCCGCAACGAGCGCAACCCUCGUUCUAUGUUGCAAGCAUGUGAAUGGUGGGAACUCAUAGGAGACUGCCGGG